rnacentral:tRNA from 1 species
UCCCUGGUGGCUCAGAUGGUAAAGAAUCUGCCUGCGAUGCAGGAGACCCAGGUUUGAUCCCUGGGUAGGGAA